CCUACGGGAGGCAGCAGUCGAGAAUUUUCGGCAAUGGGCGCAAGCCUGACCGAGCGACGCCGCGUGGAGGAUGAAGGCCUUCGGGUUGUAAGCUCCUGUCGAGGGGAAAGAAGGCCCGCAAGGGCUUGACUGAUCCCUGGAGGAAGCACGGGCUAAGUUCGUGCCAGCAGCCGCGGUAAU
rnacentral:rRNA from 1 species